rnacentral:rRNA from 1 species
UACGAAGGGGGCUAGCGUUGCUCGGAAUCACUGGGCGUAAAGCGCACGUAGGCGGCUUCUUAAGUCAGGGGUGAAAUCCUGGAGCUCAACUCCAGAACUGCCCUUGAUACUGAGAGGCUCGAGUCCGGGAGAGGUGAGUGGAACUGCGAGUGUAGAGGUGAAAUUCGUAGAUAUUCGCAAGAACACCAGUGGCGAAGGCGGCUCACUGGCCCGUAACUGACGCUGAGGCACGAAAGCGUGGGGAGCAAACAGG